rnacentral:lncRNA from 1 species
UGUAUGUUUUUUGUACAGUAAUUUUAAAAGAUGUAUGAUGUUAAAAGUUAUUAUGAUCAUGCAAGAACAAAUUACUCAAUCCAAAUUCAGCUUGUGACACGCGUUUUUCUAGUAAAAAUUCUUUUCUUUUAAAUAAGAGUUGUAGGUAUACUUUUGCAAUGGAGAGAUUCGUAAAUUGUCAACUGAUCAUGAUCAGACAAUGGAAACAUUUUUAUAGAAUGGACUUUUAUUUACAUGUAAUGAAAACUUGAGUUGAAAAUGUCUGGCAAAUUUAACCGAUGCGGUGUUGGUUUUGAAAAUAGAGUUCCAUUUUCAAGUCAUAUACAUCAAUUUGAUUGAGAAAAAUCACAGGAAUCAUUUCUGAAAUUCAUCAAAUUAGAUAUUUCUCAAUGUGUGUUAGAAU